UUGGAGGGCAAGUCUGGUGCCAGCAGCCGCGGUAAUUCCAGCUCCAAUAGCGUAUAUUAAAGUUGUUGCAGUUAAAAAGCUCGUAGUUGAAUUUCGGGAUCAGUAGGUUGGUCAUGCCUAUGGUAUGUACUGGCUUUACUGGUUCCUCCUUCUUGAUGAUCUGUAAUGUCAUUAAUUUGGUGUUGCAGGGAGUCAGGACUGUUACUUUGAAAAAAUUAGAGUGUUUAAAGCAGGCAUACGCUUGAAUACAUUAGCAUGGAAUAAUGAAAUAGGACGUUCGAUCCUAUUUUGUUGGUUUCUAGGAUUGACGUAAUGAUUAAUAGGGAUAGUUGGGGGCAUUAGUAUUCAAUUGUCAGAGGUGAAAUUCUUGGAUUUAUUGAAGACUAACUACUGCGAAAGCAUUUGCCAAGGAUGUUUUCAUUAAUCAAGAACGAAAGUUAGGGGAUCGAAGACGAUCAGAUACCGUCGUAGUCUUAACCAUAAACUAUGCCGACUAGGGAUCGGAUGAUGUUAUUUUUAAUGACUCAUUCGGCACCUUACGGGAAAC
rnacentral:rRNA from 1 species